UGCCUUGAGUGUUUGUUUUUGCGGUCUGCUGUGUCGUCUGUGACCCUUAAAAUGGAUAUUAAAGUGUUAGAGUCGGAUUUUGAGAAGGACUUAGGGGAAUUAAAAAAUAACAUUGAAAAACUAUUGAAAGAUGCCAAACACAUUCAGUAACUGAAGAACAGCAGCUACACACAAUCAAGCCAACGGCUAAAUAGGCAACUGAAGAACCUCAGACUAUGUGCUAGGAAAUUGAAGAAAAAUACUCCAGAGGGGAAUCAGGCUGGGAUAACACUGAAGGUUGCAAUUCAUCCAACCUCGCGCAUGUUCAAGUGUGAAGUUCGCAAAAAGUCCUUCAUGAAUCUGUUAGUUUAAGGAGCCAUCGGAUUAGCCACUUCAGGAAGCCGAGGGGAAAGUCUAACAAAGAAAAUGGAUGUUUGUGCCAGCCGCCAACUGCUCAUUUACCUACAUGCACCCACAAUACCCAUACCUCGAUAAACAUACAUUUUCCUUGAGUGUUUGUUUUUGCCGUCUGCUGUGUCCUCCGUUACCCUUAAAAUAGAUAUUAAAGUGUUAGAGUCAGAUUUUGAGAAGAACUUAGAGGAAAUUGAAAAUCAGAUUGAAAGACUCAUGAAAGAUGCAAUAAAAAUUCAUCAAAAAAAGAAAAGCAGUAAACAACAAUCAAGCAAACAACUAAAUAGGCAACUGAAGUAGGUGCACGACGAAAUCAACAUCAUGAAAGAUCGGCUCUCUCGAGCCACCAUUAUUAGUGGCGAAUAUCAAUCAUUUUUACACCGUGCAUACCAAAAAUUUCUGAGUUGGCAUCGGGAGCUCGUCAAAAUUAGGAUAUCCCUCGUAGCCACACUAGAACUCUGUGAAGCCUUGGUCGCGAAGCCGAGUGACACGGAGCAUUUCUGUGUUGAUUUGCUUUUUGCCCGAACGUAACCUAAGUUGCACUAAGCAUUGUUUUCUCAUUGACGUAUUCAUGUUUUAAAAUGUAACUUUCUUUCGCUUAUAACUUUCUACUUUAACUAACUUUCUUCAUCCAUUAUUGUAUUUAGAAAAGCAUUUUAAGUACAGCUUCUUUAAUCGAUAAAAUGCAAACACCCCGGUUUACAAUCCUACAAAAAAUAUAUUUUGGUUUCUAUAUAAUAUGUAUUAACGUGCGUAUUGAAGAAAUCACCAGUAAUGAAAUUACUUUUUGCUAUGGACAUUUGUUUGUCCUAUAACUGGACUUCAGUUGACAUUUUGAGGCCGUUGUCAGCCAUUUCUUUUUUAUGUUCUCCAGACGUCUGGUAAAAUCUCAAUGGAUGACAGUGGCCUAUUGUUUUUUUGUCCAGAGAGCAAAAAAAAACGUAUUUACUCACAAUUUGUUAUUGUUGAAGGCCAUGUAGAGUUGGUGAAAUAAUCAAUGUGAAUUGGAAUUGGUUUGCAUAGAUUCUGCAAAAUAUUUGAAAACAUUUGGAGAGGAGAAAAGUAACCUGGAAUAGUCUGACAAUCUCUUUUUUAUGUAAUCGUCGUAGCCAGAAGGUGAAUUUACAGAACUCCUAGUGAAAAACGACAUUCUUUUUGUAUUUUAUUUUUUCUCGUGUCUUUGACCUACCGUCGUUUCGAUCCAUCCGUAACAACCAUGCGAUCUUUGAAUUUAAUUUGGAUGUGUCUGAGCAAAAUACGAUGUGUAUUUUCUCUUCCAACCAGUCAUUAUUAACU
rnacentral:lncRNA from 1 species